GGAUCUCUUGGCUCUCGCAACGAUGAAGAACGCAGCGAAAUGCGAUAAGUAAUGUGAAUUGCAGAAUUCAGUGAAUCAUCGAAUCUUUGAACGCACAUUGCGCCCUCUGGCAAUCCUCAGGGCAUGCCUGUCCGAGCGUC
rnacentral:rRNA from 1 species